rnacentral:rRNA from 1 species
AUUGAACGCUGGCGGAAUGCUUUACACAUGCAAGUCGAACGGCAGCACGGACUUCGGUCUGGUGGCGAGUGGCGAACGGGUGAGUAAUACAUCGGAACGUGCCCAGUCGUGGGGGAUAACGUAGCGAAAGUUACGCUAAUACCGCAUACGAUCUACGGAUGAAAGCGGGGGACCGUAAGGCCUCGCGCGAUUGGAGCGGCCGAUGUUAGAUUAGGUAGUUGGUGGGGUAAAGGCUCACCAAGCCGACGAUCUAUAGCUGGUCUGAGAGGAUGAUCAGCCACACUGGGACUGAGACACGGCCCAGACUCCUACGGGAGGCAGCAGUGGGGAAUUUUGGACAAUGGGCGCAAGCCUGAUCCAGCCAUUCCGCGUGCAGGACGAAGGCCUUCGGGUUGUAAACUGCUUUUGUACAGAACGAAAAGCUCUGGGUUAAUACCCUGGGGUCAUGACGGUACUGUAAGAAUAAGCACCGGCUAACUACGUA